AUACUGGUUGAUUCUGCCAGAGGCUACUGCCAUCAGAGUUCGAUUAAGCCAUGUUAGUUAAGGGGACCUUCCUUCGGGAAGGUAACCCGGCAGACGGCUCAGUAACACGUGGACAAUUUACCCUUGGGACCGGGAUAACCCCUGGGAAACUGGGGCUAAUACUGGAUAGAGCAUCGGCUGCUGGAAUGCGCGAUGUUCGAAAGCUGAGGCGCCCAAGGAUAGGUCUGCGGCUGAUUAGGUUGUUGUUGAUGUAACGGAUCAACAAGCCCGCGAUCGGUACGGGUUGUGAGAGCAAUAGCCCGGAGAUGGGUUCUGAGAAAAGAACCCAGGUCCUACGGGACGCAUCAGGCGCGAAAACUUUACAAUGUGCGAAAGCGUGAUAAGGGAACUCUGAGUGCCUCCUAAGGAGGCUGUUCAGGUGUCUAAAAAGCAUCUGGAGUAAGGGCUGGGCAAGACCGGUGCCAGCCGCCGCGGUAACACCGGCAGCUCAAGUGGUAGCCAUGCUUAUUGGGUCUAAAGCGUCCGUAGCCGGCUGAGUAAGUUCCUUGGGAAAUUUGACCGCUUAACGGUUAAGCUAUCAGGGAAUACUGCUUGGCUUGGGACCGGGAGAGGUCAGAGGUACUCCAGGGGUAGGGGUGAAAUCUAUUAAUCCUUGGGGGACCACCGGUAGCGAAGGCGUCUGACCAGACCGGGUCCGACGGUGAGGGACGAAGGCUGGGGUCGCGAACCGGAUUAGAUACCCGGGUAGUCCCAGCUGUAAACGAUGCGGGCCAGGUGUUGGCAUUACUGCGAGUGAUGUCAGUGCCAAAGGGAAGCCGUUAAGCCCGCCAUCUGGGGAGUACGGUCGCAAGGCUGAAACUUAAAGGAAUUGGCGGGGGAGCAC
rnacentral:rRNA from 1 species